rnacentral:misc_RNA from 1 species
AUUUUUUUUUUUAAAUUUGAAAAUUGUUAAGGACUGUGAAUUCACUUCAGUGUUCUUGCUUGACCAUGUAUCAUUCAUUGCUGUUCAAAAUAUCAAAUACAAGAAGCUUUACUUCAAUUUCUUUGAUUAUAAACAUUUUAUUUUCUUUUAUUCAUUUUUUCCCACCUGCAUUUGUUCCCUGUUCUGAUUUAUUUGGGACGAG